CAUACCAGCAGACCGACCACUACUGCGAUUCUUAUGGAGGGACAUGCCGAGGGACCGACCACCUGAUGUGUAUGAGUGGCAGGUGCUUCCCUUUGGAGCGACUUGCAGCCCCUGCUGUGCAACGUUCGCGCUACAGAAGCACAUCACUGACCACAGCCAAGCAGAAGGUUGGAAACUGUGGCUCAGCCAAGGUCAACCUGAUUUACAAGAGCCGGCACUUGGACUACAAUGAAACUAUAAGUCUGACACACUCACCUAUGGACACAGACACGUUGACUGCUCGGUGGUUACAAUGAGAAACAUCUAUGAAGUUUUACCCAGACAAUAUGGCCCUCUUGGCUACAUUGUGCCUUAUACCACCCGAGCCAAAGUCAUCGUACGCCACCUGUGGGAGAAGAAUAGAGAAUGGGAUGACCCACAGCUUCCACAGGAGCUGAUGAAGAGGUGGCAUGAAUGGGGAGACAGAACCUAUUACACCUGUCCAGAUAACCCUGCCCAGGUGCUACAGUAGUGGAUCAAUCCAACUCUAAGAGUCUGUGUUGAUGUGUUCUGUGAUGCCUCUGAGCAGGCAUAUGGCUCAGUAACUUAUUUGAGAACGGACAUUCCGGAGGAGGAAAUAGAAGUUGCAUUCCUCGCAGCCCGAUUACGAGUUGGCCCCAAAAAGCAACAGUUUAUUCCCUGGCUCGAGUUGUGUGCUGCCCUGACAGGUGCACAACUCUACAAGGUCAUCUGCACAGAGUUACCCCUGCAUCCGCAGCUGUACCGUCUGGUCAGACUCCGCUACUGUGCUAACCUGGUUGAGCACAGACUCAUGCAGAUACGAGGUCUUUGUGGGCACACGUGAAAUACGCAGAAAUACAAGAGUUAACAUAUGCUGGCACAUGGAGGUACGUGCCAUCACAAGACAACGUGGCAGACGAUAUACUAACCCGUGGCCUCACCCUCCAAGACAUCAGGCAGAGAAACAGACCUGCACUUCUAAGACGACCUCCUUACCCCCUCCAAUACAAGACCAUGGAGGCCAUUGCCCAUCAGCUUCAUGGCGCGGCCGAUUCCAAGAGCCCCCUCACUUCCGAGUCUUAUGCUACUGCCUAUUUCCACCCAACUGUUUGCCCAACGUGCCAGACCGCUUCGCGAGGCCUCUAUUCCCUAGCGUAAUUUUUUCACAAAGGGGAACGUGUACUGCCAAACAUUACGCUUUCUUGGAACGUACAAGCAAACAAUCAACUUACCCGACGAGCCAAAACCAACAGUCACGUUGACGUGGUUCCAUAUGUGCCUCAAAAACCGCAGGUCUGUGCCAUGGCAUCAAGUCGAGAGCUCUCCGGUCCCUUCUUUAUUCAUUGCUGCUAACCGGAGUGAAAUAACUCAGGCGAAAACUUUAAGCAACUGCCAGCGAGGCCGCAACUGACUGGCCGCGGCUCCUGUCUCGCCACUCUCCGAUCGGAUCGUUUUGUCUCAAUGUGACAAUUCAGAAAUCUGCAUUCAAAAGUCUCCGACUUCAGCCAGAAAUAACCCAGAGAGGAUUCUGACACGGUCUUAAGUACAGCAGCGUGAGAACUUCCAGGUAACAGUGGAUGCUUUGAGAGGCGAAGCAUGUUGCAAUUACGACACCUGUGAUGGGUGCCAACAUUCGUUCUGAUUCGAGGCAGGCAAUUCACUUUUCUACGCCUGCUCAAAGCCGAAUUCCAAUCACGGCCCCAACAUUAUUCACAAAUGUUCUUUUGUUGGCGGCUUUCCUUUAAGAACUGCGUGUUGUGUCGGGGGAUUCCGUGCAACAGCAAUGAUUGUGCUGGUGGCAUUUCUUUGCUUGUUCUCACCUUUAUUGGAAUGUGCCAAACAUAACAUUUUUGAAAAUACGGGCAAAAUUGGGUGCUUUUUUUCUUUUCACCAACCAAUGCUUGAGCACUACUUGGGUUGCACAUGUCUGGAUGCCAAGAUCAGGCUUGAUGACAAAAUGAGGCGGCGAUAGCGGCUUGUUGUUCGUCGGUUAUUCUAGAAGCUUUAUUGGUGGAUAAUGUUUACAUCUCACAACGCAUUCCACAAACAUUUUCUGGUCACAAAAUGAAAUAUGAAUCACACCAUUCAAACAAACGCUGGACGUUUAGAAAGUGUUGAGCUCCACAUAUAUUAUGCCAUUUUAUGCCUUGCUUGUUUUUCAUGUCAUAUUGAAUGGAAACAAUUUCUUCUGAACAUGUUCCUUCCAUCACUACACAGCCGCCAUGACACCAAAACCACAGCUGCCAAACGUUUUCUAGAAAGGUGAGCCUAGCGAGUUACUCAAGCCAUGAAGAUGACUGUGAUGAAAUUGAUGACGUGUUGGCAAAUGCUCGAGGCCCCGCCCACCAUUCGCUAUCCUUUGCAAUGCAAACAUCCUCCACCCAGAGGAGAAAGAAGUCAGCUGGAGAGGAAAAAAAAAUCUGGCAUCUUCAUCAACUUUGUUUUAAAUAAGUGUCAAUCGGCAGCCACAAAAA